UUAGCUCAUAUUUGUAUGGAAUGGGAUCGUUUGCCUACGUUUGCCGCUAGGGGCGCUGUUCUAACUGCAUACAAAAUUGGGCUA
rnacentral:pre_miRNA from 1 species